rnacentral:rRNA from 1 species
CCUACGGGAGGCAGCAGUGGGGAAUAUUGGACAAUGGGCGAAAGCCUGAUCCAGCCAUGCCGCGUGUGUGAAGAAGGUCUUCGGAUUGUAAAGCACUUUAAGUUGGGAGGAAGGGCAUUAACCUAAUACGUUAGUGUUUUGACGGUACCCACAGAAGAAGCCCCGGCUAACUUCGUGCCAGCAGCCGCGGUAAU